UACGUAGGGGGCAAGCGUUGUCCGGAUUUAUUGGGCGUAAAGAGCGUGUAGGCGGCCAUACAGGUCAGCUGUGAAAACUCGAGGCUCAACCUCGAGACGUCGGUUGAAACCGUAUGGCUAGAGUCCGGAAGAGGAGAGUGGAAUUCCCGGUGUAGCGGUGAAAUGCGCAGAUAUCGGGAAGAACACCCGUGGCGAAGGCGGCUCUCUGGGACGGUACUGACGCGUGAGACGCGAAAGCGUGGGGAGCGAACGAGG
rnacentral:rRNA from 1 species